GCAGCAAAGCUGCGCAUGAAUAACGAGGGGAAAGAACAAAAAGAACGGGAAAAAACGAAAAAAGCUGAACGAAAGAACGAAAAGGCCUGAUCGAUAACAAAAAACGAAUAAGGGCUAAAAAAACAGAAAGAGAAAUGGACGAGCAGCCAUACACGAACGACCCCUCACUGCUUGUCAUCUUCUUCACAAAACAGACCCCCCCCCUGCGUCGUCUUCUUCAUGACAACCCACCCCCUGAAUUCGUCACCCUCAUACGACCCCACCCCCUCCGACUCCAUCUUCUCUGACGCCCCACGACCACAGCACAAAACCAGUUGCCACCCCUCAUCGAACCAGCGCCGCGGCGAAACAGCCAGCCUCCAUAGCCACUGAACUUCAAGAACGAACCAACCUGUUCAUCUAUGGUUUCAACACGACGGACCAACCAAACUUCAACCCCAAAUCACUACUCCCUGUCAUGGAGUUUGCUGGUUUCGUCUCCUAGUUUAGUUUGAGUUUUCCGGCGAGAUUCGAGGUCGCCGGAGGUCGUUGUACAGGGAGUCCGUGUAAGUCGAGGCAGCCACGGUUCUGUUCGUGAUACUGUCCGUUCAUAUGUUUCAGAUUUGUCCAAGCAUUCACAUUUCAAAUUCAAUAUUAAGGUGUAAGAGUUGAUGCUAAAGUUUUAUAGUUGAUGAUGCAGUAAUAAACUUGCACAAGAGAUCUCUGACCAUGUCCAAAGUAACGAAGUUGAGGUAGAGUAGUCCAAAAUUUCAGAUUGAUGGCUUGAUCUCCUCGGGAAACAAGAGUAGAUAGAAGAUGGCUUAGAAGGCUAUGACACAGACCUUCUGGAAUGGAGGCAAUAAACGAUGAAGUGUGUAAUCAUCCUUCUGUUGAUGGUGGAGAUCUCGGACCAUGUCCAAAGUAACGAAGUUGAGGUAGAGUAGUCCAAAAUUUCAGAUUGAUGGCUUGAUCUCCUCGGGAAACAAGAGUAGAUAGAAGAUGGCUUAGAAGGCUAUGACACAGACCUUCUGGAAUGGAGGCAAUAAACGAUGAAGUGUGUAAUCAUCCUUCUGUUGAUGGUGGUAUGAUGUGGUUAUAACUUCAUUAUUAUCCUUACAUUUUCCUUCUCUUUCUUAAAUUGGAGUAGAAAACUUCAAUUUAUUUCCUGACCUUCCCAAAAUCCAUUUUGAUUUGGAAAAACUUCUGAUGAACUAAUAAUGCAUUAAUUAUUUUAACACUAGUGCAUAGAUAAGUUUGAACUUAUAUAUUGAAUACUUUCUCGAAGUUCUUGUAAUAAAUGCCAAAACGUGCAUGUACUUCUUCUGAUCUUUAAAACCAGAAUAACAAGAUUUUUAUUGAAAGAAUCCUCUGACGAACCACAUGGCUUCUUUUGAGCCACGUUUUAUCAAUUUGGUUUCACUCAGAAAGUGAAACUACGGUUCGUGGCUUCGUGCAC